UCCCUGGUGGCUCAGACUGUAAAGAAUCCACCUGCAAUGUGGGAGACCCGGGUUCAAUCCCUGGUUUGGGAA
rnacentral:tRNA from 1 species